UACGUAGGGUCCGAGCGUUGUCCGGAAUACUGGGCGUAAAGCGUGCGCAGGCGGUGAUGUAAGACAGAUGUGAAAUCCCCGGGCUCAACCUGGGAACUGCAUUUGUGACUGCAUCGCUGGAGUGCGGCAGAGGGGGAUGGAAUUCCGCGUGUAGCAGUGAAAUGCGUAGAGAUCCGGAAGAACACCGGAGGCGAAGGCGGCUUGCUGGGCGUGAUCUGACGCUGAGGCGCGAAAGCGUGGGGAGCGAACAGG
rnacentral:rRNA from 1 species